GCCGGGCUGGCGGAAUCGGUAGACGCAGCGGACUCAAAAUCCGCCGCCCUUAAAAGCGUGUGGGUUCGAGUCCCACGCCCGGCACCA
rnacentral:tRNA from 1 species